AUUGAACGCUGGCGGCAGGCCUAACACAUGCAAGUCGAGCGGGGUUUUCGGACCUAGCGGCGGACGGGUGAGUAAUGCGUAGGAAGCUGCCCGAUAGAGGGGGAUACCAGUUGGAAACGACUGUUAAUACCGCAUAAUGUCUACGGACCAAAGUGCGGGACCUUCGGGCCACAUGCUAUCGGAUGCGCCUACGUGGGAUUAGCUAGUUGGUGAGGUAAUGGCUCACCAAGGCGACGAUCUCUAGCUGGUUUGAGAGGAUGAUCAGCCACACUGGAACUGAGACACGGUCCAGACUCCUACGGGAGGCAGCAGUGGGGAAUAUUGGACAAUGGGCGCAAGCCUGAUCCAGCCAUGCCGCGUGUGUGAAGAAGGCCUUCGGGUUGUAAAGCACUUUCAGCGAGGAGGAAGGGUGGUGUGUUAAUAGCACAUCAUUUUGACGUUACUCGCAGAAGAAGCACCGGCUAACUACGUGCCAGCCGCCGCAGUAACAC
rnacentral:rRNA from 1 species